rnacentral:tRNA from 1 species
GCUGGGAUAGCUCAGUUGGUUAGAGCAACGGUUUUGUAAACCGUCGGUCGUGAGUUCGAGUCUCACUCCCAGCU